CCCUGGAUUCCUAUCAGUGUGUCGGCAUAAGAUUGGUCGCCAUCCCCGGCCUGCACCCCCUCUCUCGAUGAGGACAAUCGAGGCUGUGAUUGCAGUGAAUUAGACACAUCUCACUGGUUCUAUCUGCAGCUAUUCACGCUCCUGCCUAUCUCUGCCUGCUCGGGGAGUGACUAUUCUCUUGUCAACAGUGCUGUGGAUGCAAUGAAUAUUCAUGAGCAGCUGAGGCAGGGCUGAGCUGGUGGAUUGCUUCUUCUCCCAGGCUAGCCUGAACCAUCAUCACCAUUGUACGUUUAAUCUGCUAUUCCAGCUAAUGCAAUAGGACGCAGGCAGGACCCGUUGGACCAGGCGGAGAUACAGGGUUUAGGAUGCUGAGCUAGGAUAAACCUCCGUUCCCUGCAACCUCCGUACUGAUGCUGAGAAUCUGGUGACUGGUCCUGUUCUCAAUACAGGCAAACUGAAAGUGACCGCGUCUUCUCAGCCUCCACCCCUGAGGUCCUCAGAGAUGGAGGCCCCCUUGGUGUGCCUGGACGAGGAGUUUGAGGAUGUAAGGUCUUACUCUGAGGAUCGGGAAGACAAGUCCAGAAGUAUCUACAUGUCACCAUCCCGACAUAUGGAGGAUGCAUCUCUCUCUGAGCUGGAGAACUUCAGCUCCGAGAUCAUCAGCUUCAAGUCUAUGGAAGACCUGGUCAACGAGUUUGAUGAGAAGCUGAAUGUUUGCUUUCGAAAUUACAAUACCAAGACUGAGAACCUGGCUCCUGUGAAGAAUCAUCUGCAGAUCCAAGAGGAGGAGGAACGGCUCCGAGAUGAGGAAGUCUGGGACGCCCUCACCGACAACUACAUUCCACUAAACGGGGAGAAAUGGAGGGAGCAUAGUGAGGAGCUACUGAAUGGCAACCUCUCCGACUCUGAGUUCCAUGAGAAAGAGGAGGAGGAGCUGAAUGAGAAGAGUGAAAAUGACUCUGGUAUAAAUGAGGAGCCCCUGCUGACCGCAGACCAGGUGAUUGAAGAGAUUGAGGAGAUGAUGCAGAACUCCCCAGACCCGGAGGAAGAGCUCGAUGAGGAGGAGAAGGACCUUGAAGACAUCAGCUCUCACUCAGACGCCAUCCUCCUCCAGGAGAUGCAGGCUCUGAGCCAGACCUUCAAUAAUAACUGGACCGCUGAGGAUGUCCUAGUCUCACCUCCAGCAGGUCUGCAGCACAUGAAUGUCCUGGAGCUGACGCAGCUGCUGGACCGCGUGGAGAGAGCGAUCUGCGACUUCUCUGAAGAACUGAUCCAGCAGCUGGCCCGGCGGGAUGAGCUGGAGUUUGAGAAGGAGGUGAAGAAUUCCUUCAUCACGGCUCUCCUGGAGGUCCAGAACAAGCAGAAGGAGCAGAGAGAGCUGGUGAAAAAGAGGAGAAAAGAGAAAGGCCUCAGCUUGCAGAGCAAUCGCCCUGAGAGGAACGGGCAAAUGCCCCUGAAGCGUUUCAGCAUGGAGGGGAUCUCCAAUAUUCUGCAGACCGGAAUCAGACAAACGUUUGGUAAUUCGGGAAACGAGAAGCAGUACCUGAACACAGUCAUCCCGUAUGAGAAGAAGAUCGCGCCCCCGUCUGUUGAAGACUUGCAGAUGCUGACAAACAUAUUGUUUGCAAUGAAAGAAGACAGCGAGAAGGUUCCUACCUUAUUAACAGACUACAUUUUAAAAGGUAGUGGCAGUAAGCAGGGCAGCAGUGGGUGUGUUGGGUGACCCACCAGACCGUAUGAGCACUGGAUCCGCAUGUAGCUAAUCUUUUAGGAUCAGUGCUAUGCCCAACCUAACGUGUGCCAACGAGAACGCCAAUCAGGGAGGACAUACGUGUUACAUCCGGACUGCAUGACAUAACAUUUACAUUUGCAUUGAAUUAAUCCGAUUUACAGGCCCGGUAUUGAUCAUUACCUAUUGCUUUCUCGUCAAUUUAACCACUACCUGCUCAGAGGAACCCAGGAUUUAACCCAUGUUGUUUUGUGUUAUUCAUGAGCCGCCGAGUAGUCUCCUGCCAGGACGUCUGCCCCCUGCUGGCAAUAGGCAGUAGUCAGAUUCUUCUGGCAGAAUUCUACUUGUACCUUUUAUGGCCAAGGUAAUGUGAUGAUUUAGGAGAAUUUUCUGCUGUGUACAGAUGUGUCAUUCUGUCGUGUGUGACCCCUGUAAGUGGCUUCCCGUGGUAUUAGUUGAGGAGAUGAGUUGUUGUACCUGUUCUGUGAGGUGGCGGAACGAUGACUACCUGGCCACUGAAGACGUCACAUCCUUACAGAAAACCAUCCGUAGUAUACAGAAUGGCUGGAAGAUGCCUCACGUGUCAUUGUCCUCCGGCGCAGUUAUAUGUAGCGGUCCUCGUUGUUCUAGGAGGCCACAGCAUACAUCUUACUACUCGUUUUACUCAAAUCAGCCCUUUCUCUAACGAUAUGGCUGAGGUACGGGCCUGAUCCGUGUCAUAGGCCAUUCUGUGGUCCUCCCCGCGAGGGGAUACUGGAGUAUGUGUGUUACAUUUGUGUGCGUCGGCUACAAAUAGCUUUAAUGGAAGGUCUGUCUGACCUGUGAGUGUCACCGGAAAGUAUUACACCUGUCCGCUCUCACACUCUAAUUUAUCAUCGGCAUAAAGCAGCAAUGUGGUUUCUGAAGAUGGCGGGACGGAGGAGGUGGGACUGACACACGGAAGGCCUUUGUACAUUGUAGUGUAUUGGAACAUGUCUUGCCAUGUAAUAUAUGAUAGCCAAAUAAAUCUCAUGUAGUGAA